CGCCCGAUAGCGCCGAGUUCCAUCCAUCGGACGCAGCCCGACGAUCCACCUGGAUGGAGCGGGGGACCCACCGGUCCGCCGAAGGACCUUGGAGCCGCCCGCGGCUCCUCGGGGUGAAGCCGACAUCCGUGCCGGCCGGGCAACCUCUCUCGCCCGAACCCGACAGCUGACCUCGUAGGCGCAGACGAGAGGAAUU
rnacentral:sRNA from 2 species